rnacentral:ncRNA from 1 species
GCGGCGUCUACUCCACUACCUAGGCCCGCGACGACAAAAGAAGGAGGCUGUUUCUCCGCGGACUUGCGGUGCGGCAGUGUGGAGACCUGCCGUAAUGCCGCCGCCACCAAUGCGGGCUGCGGCGAGGCGGGCAGUUGAAGGAGUUCGUGCCCGUCAAAGUCAAAUGGUAUGGCA